ACCCGCUGAACUUAAGCAUAUCAAUAAGCGGAGGAAAAGAAACCAACAGGGAUUCCCCUAGUAACGGCGAGCGAAAAGGGAUCAGCCCAGUAUGAAAAUCACCGGUUAACCGGUGAGUUGUAGUCUGCAGUGGCAACUCCUGGGUGGCGCGCGGCCGAAGCAUCUUGGAACAGAUCGCCGCAGAGGGUGAGAGUCCCGUAGGCCAAGCAAAGCCCUUCACGGAGUGCUCACGGAGAGUCGGGUUGUUUGGGAAUGCAGCCCAAAUUGGGUGGUAAACCCCAUCUAAGGCUAAAUACCGGUGGGAGACCGAUAGCAAAAAAGUACCUCGAGGGAACGAUGAAAAGACCGCUGGCAAGCGAGUGAAAGAGUGCAUGAAAUUGUACAGUGGGAAGGGAUGGCCUGGCGUGCUGCGCCCGAGUAUACCCGGCUCAUGGAGGCGGUGAAUACAUCGGGCGCUUGCAGGUGCCGACACGCGUGGCUGAAGAUCACGAAGCCGAGACGUUUCGCGUCGCAGGCGCGCGUGUUGAGGUCGAUUGCUGCUUGUGCAAAACUGCAGCGACAAAGCACCCGCUGAAGCUUGUCCAUCUACCCGUCUUGAAACACGGACC
rnacentral:rRNA from 1 species